rnacentral:tRNA from 1 species
AGGGUUGUAGCUCAGUGGCAAAGCAUUUGUCUGUCAUGCAUAAGACCUUCGGUUUAAUUCCAAGUGCAUCUA